rnacentral:lncRNA from 1 species
ACGCGUCAUACACCUGCACCCGGGAGGAAAGGCGAGGCUCUGCAUCUAGAUUUACCUCGUUCUCUUUUGUCUCCGCUUUUUUUUCACAUUUCCUUGCGACCCUGGCCCUUGAGCGACAAAAAGGGGAAGCCAAGGCUGGCCCGAGGAACGGAGAGGGCACAUGGCCUAGCCACAAGUGGAGCUUCUGCUCCGCCCGAAGGGAUGCGCUGGAGCGGCCUCUUCCUUCUGCCACGGUCUUUCUUUGCCAACUAGUAGAUUUGGACAUUUACAGUGUUCAGCCGUUGUUGUGGCAUUCCAAUUCAAUUGGGAAACAGCUUGAUGUAGCGUCCCCAUAAGGUCCACAGUAAUUAAAUUUUUUUUUUUUUUUUUUGGUGCGGUAGUGCAAUUUCAUGGCUCACUGCAACCUCCACCUCCCAGGUUCAAGCGAUCCUCCCAUCUCAGCCUCCCUAGUAGCUGGGAUUACAGGUGCACGCCACCACACCAGGCUAAUUUUUGUAUUUUUAGUAGAGAUGGGGUUUCACCAGGUUAGCCAGGCUGGUCUUGAACUCCAGACCUCAAGGGAUCCGCCUGCCUCAGCUUUCCAAAGUGCUGGGAUUACAGGUGGAGACUGGACCUCAGAAGAGGGAGUGGGUGCCCCGAGAACUCACAGCUAGCGGACAGUGGAAAGGGCAGGAGCCGGACCAAGGUGAGGACAGUGGAACUGAAGGCCGCUGGUUACCUCUCCUGCCCUCCGCUGGCCACAGUGGAGAAGACAGCCCCUCCCUCCUGCUCUGACCUGACAGUGUUCAUCCAUCGCCCUGUAUUAGCGAAGAACAACAUCAAGCUGGCUAGCAAGGAACUGUAUACAGGGUCCAGCUGGGUAUCACACUGGAUCUCACCCAAAGCUUAGAUGUGAUCCAGCUCAGUAUCACAAAGCAGAACGAAAAGGAUGUGUUUGGGCUGAGAGGCCAUACAUUGGCUCCGGCAUGACGGGUGACUUCUUCCGAGUCUGGCUUCUGCAGCACACAGGGCUUCGCCAGCACCCAGCUCCUGCAGCAUGGGCAGCUCCUGUGACAGCAGGCGCCCGCAGCCUGCAAAGCGUCUCCAGUGCCGCCGCCUCAGUGAACCUCAACCAGCGGCACCUAGCAGCUUUCUCUGCCACCCUCUUCAGGUCUGGAUCUAAGCCCAGGGACCAGGAAACCUCUUGCUUGAGUGCUGGAACUCAGGCCAGAAGGUAUGGCUGCUGCUAUGUGCUGUGACCAGAGAAUCAGAGUUCUCUUUACUUCUUACCAGCCAACCUCUUGAAAAUGCCUUUUUGUUUUUUGUUUUUUUUUGAGACGGAGUCUCGCUCUGUUGCCCAGGCAGUGCAGUGGCUCACUGCAACCUCCGCCUCCUGAGUUCAAGUGAUUCUCCUGCCUCAGCCUCACAAGUAGGUGGGAUUACAGGCAUGUGCCACCACGCCCAGCUAAUUUUGUAUUUUUAGUAGUGACGGGGUUUCUCCAUGUUGGUCAGGUUGGUCUCAAACUCUCGACCUCAGGUGAUCCACCUGUCUCAGCCUCCCAAAGUGCUGGGAUUACAGACGUUAGCCAGAGCGCCCAGUCUAAGCCCUUUAUAGCUUAAUUCUAUAUAUUAAAUUUUCCCAGUUCAAAUUACUGUGUGCUUCCCUUCUCCUGAUUGGACCUUGCUUGAUACAAAAUUAGUACAAGGAGUGGUCUCAAGAGAUAGAUGCACAAAGAAGGGAUAUGGGGACGGAUUUGGGUAUUUGGGCUUGAGUGCAGACUGAGCUCCUUGACAAUGAGAAAUAGGAUAUGUAUUAGGGUUCUCCAGAAACAGAAUAACAGAAUCUAUAUAUACAUGUGUAUGUGUGUGUAUAUAUAUAUAUAUAGAGAGAGAGAGAGAGAGCUUUUAUGUGUGUGUAUAUGUAUAUAUAUAAACACACACACACUAAGGUAUUGCCUCACAUGAUUAUGGCAGUCGAGAAGCCCCACAAUCUGCUAUCUGCAAGCUGGAGACCCAAGGUCAGUGGUGCAGCAUUUUUUUUUCAGAUGGGGUCUCCCUCUGUUGCCCAGGCUGGACU